GCACUACUGAGGAGUCCCACAAUAGGACGAAACGGCCGUUCAGUGC
rfam:Schistosoma mansoni strain Puerto Rico chromosome 7, complete genome